GGCUGGUCCAAUGGUAGUGGGUUAUCAGAACUUAUUAACAUUAGUGUCACUAAAGUUGGUAUUCAACCCCCCACUGCUAAAUUUGACUGGCUUUU
rnacentral:Y_RNA from 1 species